rnacentral:lncRNA from 1 species
CUCUGGAAAGAAUAGGAGCUUCCAAGACACAGGGCUGCCUUGGACAAAACGGGCUUAGAAAAUUCAGUCUGUGGGAGUUUGAGGGUGCUUCUAAGAAGACAGCCAGCUCAGGAAAGAUCGCAGAAGCUGGGUGUUACGAAUGAGCGCUGAACCAUGACCACUCUCAAUACUUAGAGAACAUCAUAUUUUUGUCAUGACGCUGAAGACACCAUAUGAAGUUGCUUCUUACCUCGCCUCUCUCCCUGACUAGACAUGGGGUUCAUCAAAGACUGUGAUAAAAGGACUCUGAAUCCUGGGUAGAAGAAGAUGAACUGGCUAAGGACCUCAGGACUAGAAGAACAAUACUGUGGUCUGGUGUCCCUCACAUCCUACCUAAGAACACCAAGAAGCUCAAGGCAACACCUU